UACAGAGGUCUCAAGCGUUGUUCGGAUUCAUUGGGCGUAAAGGGCGCGUAGGCGGUGCCACAAGUCACCUGUGAAAUCUCCGGGCUUAACUCGGAGCCUGCAGGCGAAACUGUGGUGCUGGAGUGUGGGAGAGGUGAGUGGAAUUCCUGGUGUAGCGGUGAAAUGCGCAGAUAUCAGGAAGAACACCAAUGGCGAAGGCAGCUCUCUGGGACGGUACUGACGCUGAGACGCGAAAGCGUGGGGAGCGAACAGG
rnacentral:rRNA from 1 species